GAGGGUGGCGGGUGACAACCACGGUCGGGGACACGAAGAUCAGGGGACACAAGAUCUGGGAAGGUUCUCGUCCUUGUAGCUGGUCUCUACGGACAUGCCCUCAGGCCUCGCUCGGGCCAGGCGCGCCCUGGGGGGGCGAUGGCGCCGUGUCCCCGGGUGCCACGUGCCUGGCUCCGCAGCCCCAGUGGGGACGCUCAGGGAUCGCAGGGGGCUGGAGAGGGAGCCGCGGCCAGGGCGUGAGGUGAGCCCCAGGACACCCUCCAGGGCCGCGUGACACUGUGGGGUGAGGAGGGGUCAUUAGUGGGAAGGGGACAAAGCCGUGAGUCGCCAUCUAGGAGAGCGGCCAGGUGUCCUCCGACCCCUAGUGGGGCUUCAAGUCCUCUGGGGCCCACGGGAGCGGUUCGUGGUCCCUCUCUCUGCCCCAAGGCUCCUGGUGCUGACAGCGGAUGUGGGGGGACAGUACGGGGUCCUCGUCCUCCAGUCACUGGGCUGCUGGGGUCCCUUGGUGGGGGGGGGGCGAGGGUCACCCCCGCGGCCCAGUCAGCAGCCGGAGAUGGAGGUGACUCACGUGUGGAGGAGAGGCGGGGCGUCAUCGCUGACUCAGGGCCGGCUCCUGCCCCCGUCGUCUCACCUGCCACCGCAGCUGGAGGCGGACACCCCGACAGUCUAUUCUUUUUAGAGGACAGAGAAUAG
rnacentral:lncRNA from 12 species